rnacentral:lncRNA from 1 species
CCCUCAAGUAUUAAUCCCUUUGAAAAAUAAAAUAAUUAUCCAAAAAAUGGAUUUGGAAAUUUUAUUUUUAAAAAUAGGAAAAGAAAUCACUAACAUUUCUUUGGUCAGUUCUAUGCUAUAACUCUCCACUGUCAACAUCUGAAACUUCCGAAGUUUCCGUAACAAAAACUGCUCUUGAAUAAAGCUUUUUUUUUUUUUUUGCCUUAUUCUAUCAUGUUUCUAACCCACAACUAUUCUGCUGCAUUAUGAGGGCAUUUCAAGAUCUGUGCUAUGUAAAAACACAGAUAGGAGUUCCUGUUGUGGCUCAUUGGGUUAAGAACCCAACUAGUAUCUACGAGGACUUGGGUUCAAUCCCUGGUCUCUCUCAGUGGGUUAAGGAUUUGGCAUUGCCAGAAGAUGUGGUAUAGGUCACAGAUGUGGCUCUGGUCCUGCAUUGCUGUGGCUGUGGCAUAGGCCUGCAGCUACAGCUCAGAUUGGACCCCUAGCAUGCGAACUUCCAUAUGCAGGAGGUGGAGCCCUAAAAAGAAAAAGAAAGAAGGAAAGAAAGGGUUAUUAGCAUAGGUUAUUAAUUGUAUCUAUGUGCUAAACAAAUGAUUGCUGAAGGCCAAUUAUUGUCUGUGUGUGAAAGACAUGAAAGUCAAGCUCCCAGUCUAAUUGGGGAAAUACAUACAUAUCUGAAUAAUUAUAAAGUAGUCACAAGAUGUGAAAAGAAAUACCUGCAAAGAACAAUUAAGACCAGACAAUGAAACAACUAAUUGUGUCAGAGAGAAUCAAGGUAUGUGGUAAUAUUUGAUCAAGGUCUUAAAAGAUGACUAGAGAUUGGCCCAGUGGGUCCACCCAGUGGGAGUAGGCAUUCCAAUCACAGGGAACAUUGUUUGCAAAAGCAGAGGCCUGAAAUGCAAGAUAAAUCCUGAGAGUGGCCUGGAAUCACUGGAAUUUAGCGUACAAAGAUUAAGCAUAACUUCCUUUCACCAGUUGGCUGGCUCGCUCUCAGCUGCCUCUCACAUUCUCCUCUUAGUUUCACUCCUGCUUCUACUCCCAGUACAACAGAGCUCUUUUUCUCACUCAGCAUCUCUGGUCACUGAGGGUAAUUUCUGAGCUAGUUUAUAAGCAUCAGACUCCUUUCAUGAAAGGAACACACCUUGUGACUCUCUGUGUAUGUUACUCUCCUAAAACAAAAUCAGUUCUGCCCAGUGUGAUUAUCCCCCCUAUUUAUUGGGGUUUAUUCCCAAAGACUUUUGACUAUUUUCAAGUCAAGUCUACCCUUGAAGAGUGAAGAUUUAUUAUCAUUUGGGAUAAUUAUGGAAUACAUUGCAAAUCCUGAAAAUAAUCCUGAGAGGUAUUCCAAAGCUGUUUUUUAGAAAUGCUAGCAUCAUUGCAGUCUUUUAAGAUGAUUCUUUGAAUAGAGUACUCCUUUGGAUGUUCAAAUUCCGGAGGAUUUUAAAAUAAUCACAUAUUGUUAAUUUUUAGGUAUCAUAACGGUAUUGUGGUGGGGUUUUUUUUACUUUUUUUUUUUUUUUUUUUUUUUUUUGUCUUUUUAGGGCCGCGCCUGUGGCAUAUGGAGAGUCCCGGGCUAGGGGUCAAAUCAGAGCUGUAGCCACUGGCCUAUGCCUCAGCCAUAGCAAUGCCAGAUCCAAGCCGUGUCUUCGACCUACACCAUAGCUCACGGCAACGCCAGAUCCUUAACCCACUCAGCGAGGCCAGGGAUCAAACCUGCGUCUUCAUGGAUGCUAGUCAGAUUUGUUUCCACUGAGCCAUGGUGUGAACUCCAUUUCUUUUACCCUUUUAAUUAAAGUAUAGUUGAUUUACGAUGUUGUGCCAAUUUCUGCUGUACAGCAAAGUGACCCAGCCAUAUAUGUAUAUAUACACACACACAUAUAUACACACACACACACAUAUAUAUAUGCAUACAUUCCCUUUCUUAUAUUAUCUUCCAUCACGGUCUAUCCCAAGAGGCUUGAUACAGUUCCCUGUGCUAUGCAGUAGAACCUCAUUGCUUAUCCAUUCUAAAUGUAAUAGUUUUCAUCUAUUAACCAAAACUUCCAGCCCAUCCGGGUUCUCCCCUCCCCCUUGGCAAUGUGGUUAUGUUUUUAAAAAGUCGUUUUUUAGAGAUACAUAGUGAAAUAAUAAGGUGAAAUAGUGUGGCAUUUGCUUUAAAAUAAUCCAGUGAUGGAAGAAGGGGCAGUGUGGGGAAUACAGUUGAAAUAAUAUUAUUGGGUAGACAUUUGAGGUUCAUUGUAAUAAUCCGUUUUUCCAUAUGCUUGAAAUUUUCAAUUAUAAAAAGUAAAAAAGUCACUUUACAUCAUAGUCAUACUUCAUCUUGUCCUUGUAGGUUGAAAAGGACUAAUCAUUUUCACAAGCAUCAAGAUACAUGGUAAACUUUAAUGUCAUCGGUUCAUUGCCCUCUCCCUAAGUUGAGAGAAUCUGAGUUCUCUAUAAGGACCUCUACCUUUUGCUACAAAGAAUUUUAAUGUAUAUUCAUAUGUAGAUAAAUAUUCUUUUAUUAAUUCUAAAGAUACUAAGUAGGCAACUGCAGAUGCUAAACACAUACUGCAAAUGUAAUAAAUUAAUGUAUACUAAUAUUCUACUUUUUGCCCUGAAGAAUGCAUCUUUAUUUUAGUUUGUCAUUUUUUAAAAAUUGUGCAGCACAACUGCACUGUGAACACUAGUGAACAAAUAUUAUCAAAUGUAAAAGUGAAGGUAUUUUCCCCUCUGUUGUCAUGUAUCAAGUUAUAUUGAUUUAUUUCCCCUCAUUAUAGUGCCCUCCUCCUUUUCUUUUCUUUUUUUUUUUUUAAUUUUAAGAACUCCAGGCAUUCUUGGACAAUAGAAAUCUUGUUGAAAUCAGGUCUCUCUUUAUUUCAAAUUGGCUAGCCUGUAAAGUAGCUUCUAGAGUGGAGGUCUUUGGUCACUGUUUUAUUAGAGGAGUGGUAGGGUGGCCCUCUUCUUCCCUGGGAAGCCCCCAGACUCCGGAUCAAGGAGAAGCUCACCGCUUGGAGCUCACCUCAGACCUCAGAGGGCCUUGGAGGUAAAUAGUUACCCUGGCCAGGCUGUGCACUUCCUGUCCAAGUCAAUCCUGAACUCAUAAUGUGUGCAUUUUUCUGUAGUGGUUCCCCUUGCUCCAAAUCCAGCUACAUUAACACACCCCAGGUUAUUAACUUUUUCAUUUCAUAAAUUAUCUCUACAAAUUUCAGUGUAUACAUUUUCCAGGACACUUGCCCUUUAGGUGACUGUUUCCUAAGUGUGACUGUAGGAGCUCUUGUAUUCAGAUCACUUAAAGUUCUGGCCCUACUGCAGAUGUUCUAGAUCAGAAACUCUGGAGGUGAAGCCUGGGAAUGGGGCUCCAGUGCAUGUUAAUGACUGACAAUCAAGUUUUGGAGGAAGUUUUUUUUUUUUCCUGUCUUUCCUAGGGCUGCUUCCCACGGCAUUUGGAGGUUCCCAGACUAGGGAUCUAAUGGAGCUGUAGACGCCGGCCUACGCCAGAGACAAAGCAACUCAGGAUCCGAGAUGCAUCUGUGACCUAUACCACAGCUCACGGCAAUGCUGGAACCUUAACCCACUGAGCAAGGCCAGGGAUCGAACCCACAACCUCAUGGUUCCUAGUCAGAUUCGGUAACCACUGUGCCACGAUGGGAACUCCUGGAAGGAGUUUUCAUUUGGCUGUGGAAUGAAUGGCAGAACUGAGAACAGUAAACAACCUCUCUGCUCUGGCCUACCCCUUUCUUUAGAAGAGUAUUUCCUUAACUUGAACACUGCACUGUUGAUUUAACAACAGCUUCUUAUGCAAAAAGAAACUUUAGAGUUUGGGUGAAAUUCUAGAAAUAACAACCACAAAAAUAUCCAUCAGUUUUAGAAAUGGUGACAUUACUCAUAUAUUUACCAGUUGUCAAGUCACUUAAUAGUGAGCUCUUUUGAAAUACAUAUUUAAAUGAUUAGUCACUUUCAACUUAAGCUGUGUUUCAAAUUGUAUUUUAUGCCAAUGACGAGAUACUACUUAAGUUGUGCUGUUUUGAAGUAGUAGUCUUCAAAUUAUAUCUAUAUCUAUACUAGGAUACAAGUACUUUACAAGAGAUAUGAAGGCCAAAAAGAGUUUUAAGGGAAUCAGGAUUCUGAAUAUUUAGUUUCUCUUUGCCCUCCUUAAAACUGAUCUGAAAAAACUAAUUUCUGGAGAGAGGACCAUGAUGACAACCUAAGAGGCUCCUGAGCUACUCUCCACCAAUGGACGCACUGAAAGUCUACCUGUCGUGGAGCAAUUCCCACUGAAAGGGAUCUGGAAACUAGCCAAGCAACUCCUACACAUUGGGCAAACAAGAAAACACCCACAUAGAAACAGGCAAGAGAGACUGAAACAUUCUCUGACCAUAAAACUCACCCCUGGCACAGAGCCAAACAAUAAAGAUUCAAACUGCAAGUCCCAGCUGUUCCCUGAGAAGCAAAGGGUUUUGACCCCACAUGUAGCACCCCAACUUUUAGUAUCUCCCAAAACACCUAGCUCUGGAAGCCAAUGGAACCUGCAUCUAUGAGACUACAAGACCAUAGCAGACAAAGAUAAUAUUGUUAAUAAGUGGUGUUGAAAAACCAGACCUUUAUCUUACAUCAUAUACAAAAAUCGACUCAAAGUGGAUUAAAGACUUGAAUAUAAGACAUGAUACUAUAAAAUUCAUAGAAGGAAUCAUAAAGGAGUAAGCUCUUUGAUGUUGGCCUUGACAAUGAUUUUUUUUUCCGAUUUGAUGCCAAAAGUAAGCAACAAAAGCAAAAAUAAAGAAAUGAGACUACAUUAAAUUAAAAAGCUUCUACACAGCAAAGGAAACCAUCAAUAAAAUGAAAAGGCAGUCUAUGGAAUGGGAGAAAGUAGUUGCAAACCAUAUAUUCAUAAGGGGUUAAUAUGCAAUAUAUGAAGAACAAACAACCCAAUAGCAAAAAGGAAAUAACCCAAUUAAAAAAUAGGCAAGAUCCUGGAGUUUCCACUGUGGCCCACUGGGAUCAGUGGCAUCUUUGGCAUAUUGGGAUGUGGGUUCAAUCCCCACCAAGCACAACAGAUUAAGGAUCUGGCGUUGCCCCAGCUGUGGUGUAGGUUGCAACUGCAGCUCAGAUCUGAUCCCUGACCCCGGGAACUCCAUAUGCCACAGAGCAGCUGAAAAA